rnacentral:rRNA from 1 species
UACGUAGGGUGCGAGCGUUAAUCGGAAUUACUGGGCGUAAAGGGCGCGCAGGCGGUAGGAGAAGUCAGGCGUGAAAGCCCCGGGCUCAACCUGGGAAUUGCGCUUGAUACUCUCCAACUGGAGUUCGGGAGAGGAGAGUGGAAUUCCCAGUGUAGAGGUGAAAUUCGUAGAUAUUGGGAAGAACACCGGUGGCGAAGGCGGCUCUCUGGACCGAGACUGACGCUGAGGCGCGAAAGCGUGGGGAGCAAACAGG